GCCAAAACCCUGAUUUGCUCUAAAACCUCAGGAAAUUGGCACACUCCAACUAUUCCAGCCUCCUUCUCCGGCCGAACAAAAAUGGAGUACGUUAAUCCUGAAGGUCUCCGUUUAGAUGGUCGCCGUCCAAUGGAGAUGAGACAACUUCGUGCUGAAAUAGGGGUUGUAUCGAGAGCAGAUGGUUCUGCCUCGUUUGAAAUGGGGAAUACCAAAGUCAUUGCAGCAGUUUAUGGUCCUCGGGAGGUUAAGAACAGGAGCCAACAGAUGAAUGACCAGGCACUGGUACGUUGCGAGUAUAGCAUGGCUAAUUUCAGCACUGGCGAUCGCCGGAGAAAAACAAAGGGUGACAGGAGAUCCACGGAGAUAUCUCUUGUUAUUCGCCAGACAAUGGAAGCUUGCAUAUUGACACACCUGAUGCCUCGCUCUCAGAUAGACAUUUAUGUCCAAGUCCUCCAAGCAGAUGGAGGUACAAGAUCAGCAUGCAUAAAUGCUGCCACACUGGCACUUGCUGACGCCGGGAUUCCCAUGCGUGAUCUUGUUACAUCAUGCAGUGCUGGAUAUCUGAAUAGCACACCUCUUCUUGAUUUAAACUACUUGGAAGACAGUGCUGGAGGUGCUGAUGU
rnacentral:misc_RNA from 1 species